GAACGGAGCCUGAACGAAAAAACCCGGCAAAACUGCCGGGCUCGAACUUA
rnacentral:sRNA from 1 species